CUAGGUGUCAGCUACUGCGGCUACACAGAGGCAGACUACAGAGCCUAGCAGGUAUCGGGGCUCAUUUGUGCAAACAAACUAGUAUUCAUGCUCUAGCAUUAUUCUUUGGCAACUGAAACUAUUU